GGCCCAACAAGUGGCCAUAACCAAAGAUAAUCAUGUUUACACUUUUUGGUACAAUUCUUCUAAUACUGAUGUGGCUACAUACACCUUUGACUAUUGUGACAUAGUCACUUGUACAUUCCCACAAACACAACAUGCAACUAUAUAUAAGGACAUUCCUAACAAAAAGGAUCCAUACAUUUGUGUGACUGGAGGAGUUUGGGGUCACCAUUGUAGUUCAUGGAAAGCUGCCGGGUGGAACACAGGUAGACCAUGGGGUUACAGACCUCAAGUCGCAUUAGACAAACUUGACAAAGAUGGGAAACCCUUACUCUCUAGAAUGACCCUAAGUAAACCCAUAGGGUCAACUCCCAUUAAACUCACCUUGAAUAUAGAACACCCUAGCCCGAGGGAUGCAGGGGAGUAUGUGAUGGGAAUGUACUGGAAGGGAGGCGGAUCACAUAACGCAUUGGGGACCUUUUACCUGCAAGAUAUGCUAAAUUCUUCUGACUGGGUAGGAACCACACAUAUGGUCAUUAACCCAUUAAAACCACAUAUCAAGACCCUACAUGACAUGGUGGCCAUAGCUAACCCCACUUUUGAGGAUACCAUGGCAGUAGAAACAGGGUUUUCAGACACUAAUUUGUGGCUAGAAUGGAUGAGGUACAACGCAAACUCACACAAUAAGACUAAUUGUUACGUAUGUGGAGGUGCCAGACCCCAUCUGGGCACAGUACCUCUGACCUUACCCCCCGAAAUAGAAUCAUGUGUACUGAGUUUGUAUGCACAAUCUAUCACCAACUCCUCAACAUGUGAAUCCUGGAAGAAGGUUUACCCAAUCACCCAUGGACAUGUGAAACCACCUGAUGGAGUCACCAUCUACCCAGGUAAUUACACAUGCUAUUCAAUACCUGAGAACACUGGUUUGUAUCUGGGCAAAUUCCCAUCAGGAUACUGCUCAACUUACCAUAGUCCACCUGUAUCUCUGCUAAUGAAUCACACACAGACAAUCGGUGAUAUCUAUUGGUUAUGUGGUGACAAACAAUUGAGGUCCCAAUUAGCUGGGCAAUGGUGGGGGGAGUGUGCCCUAACCAAAGUCAUAAUGCCUAUCCACAUUAUUCCAGAUGGUAGUCAUAACACUUUAAAUCUCACACAUAUACACUCUAGAACCAAACGAGAGGCUCCUAUCCGAGGGAGCUUCGACCCCCAUGUAUAUAUUGAUGCCAUAGGUGUGCCUAGGGGGGUGCCCAACGAAUUCAAAGCAAGAGAUGAAGUAGCUGCAGGAUUUGAAUCCCUAAUUCCAAUGAUAACUGCUAAUAAAAAUGUCAAUUGGAUCAACUAUAUCUAUUAUAAUCAGCAGCGCUUUGUCAAUUAUACAAGGGAUGCCCUACAGGGCCUAGCAGAACAGCUACAAGCCACAACCCAAAUGACAUUUCAGAAUAGAAUGGCCCUAGAUAUGAUUUUAGCUGAGAAAGGGGGGGUAUGUAAAAUCCUCCCUGAAACCAUGACAUGUUGCACAUACAUUCCAGACAACACUGGGCCCAAUGGUAAGGUGACUAUGGCCAUAGAGAAGCUAGAUAGUCUUGCCGACGAAUUAAAGAAGAAUUCGGGAGCCACGGACAUAUGGGACAAAUGGUUUGGGUGGAUGAAUGGCUGGCAAAAGACCCUCUUCCAGGUGGGGACAGCUGUUUUUAUAGUGUUCAUUAUCUUCUUGUUUUUAGCCUGUUGCAUACUCCCCUGCAUACAGAAAUAUCUGCAGAAAGCAGUGGAUAAGACUGUGGAUAACGUGACCCCUACCUUCCUACAUCAAGAUAUCACAGACCUCGAAGAUGACACCCCACAUACACCCCUACAAGCACAUCAGUUUAAACAGACAACUGCCUUUCUAUAGGGAUAGAGUAGGGAAAGCGUCUGUCUUGACAGGUGAGUCUCACGUGUGGAGAUGUAGUGGGCUAGCCACUGCGGGAUACCCGCGGAGUGAAGCGUUCGAUGCUUGUCAAGACAGAUAGGUUGCGGGCAACUAGGGACAUAUUAGGGACAGCGGCAGUUGUUAUGGUAAAUAGCCAUUUUAGGGGGGACUGUUGUGGAAAUAAGGUCUGCACAUAUUUCCUAGAUAGAGAAAAAUGUCUAUUUACUCAUUUCAUGAAAUAUAUGUAUCGUAUAAAACUAAACACACAUAUUUUAAUCAAGAUGGCUGCUAGAAGCUUCUAAUCCCUCCUUCCCCCUCCCUUCCCCUCCUAACGUCGACUAACUACCUCGUGCAUCAAGAUGGCGCCGGGAAACCGUGGGAGACCCUCAUGGUCCCGGUGACAUCACCUACAGUAGGCAGAGCAUUAGAGCAAGCACUUAACACCUAACCAAUUAUUGAUGUAUUAUUCCAUGUUAUCUCUGACAAUGCAUAUGAUGUAAUUUUGCUUUAAAAGGGACUUG
rnacentral:lncRNA from 1 species